rnacentral:lncRNA from 1 species
AGAAAUCCUGGAAAUCCUUGAGCUGGGAAAUGGGAAAUGGAACGGGGAAAUCCCUGACUGAGGUGGGAAAUGGGAAAUCCGUGAGAUGGGGAAUCCUGAAGAUCCGCGAGGUUGGAAAUGAGAAAUCCCCGAGGUGGGAGCUGGGAAAUCCUUGAGGUGGAAACUGGGAAAUCCUGGAAAUUCCCGAGGUGGAACUGGGAAAUCUCUGCCCAGCUGCUGGGUCGGGUGAAUGAUCAACCAGGGCAGGGGCGGGAUUGCAAAAUCCCCCGGUGUCCUUGGGGUGGGGAGAAGCUGAAUUUUCUCCCUCUGGGAUCACACAUGACCCCCAAAAAAAAACCAGAGCUGCUUGGCAAGAAGGGAUGGAAACCCCCGGGACCCUGCGGGGUCCGCGGCAGCGCUGGGGUGGGACGGGACAGAGCUGGGACAGAGCUGGGGCUGGGCUGGGGCUGCUCCAGCCCCAGUCCUUCCUCACCCCAGGGGCUGGGGCAGAGCUGGGGCUGGGCCAGGGAUUCUCUCGGACCGGGGAUUCCCUCGGGCCGGGAAUUCCCUCGGGCCGGGGAUUCUCUUGGACCGGGGAUUCCCUCGGGCCGGGGAUUCCCUUGGGGCCCGGGAUUCCCUCGGGGCCGGGGAUUCUCUCGGGCCGGGGAUUCUCUCGGACCGGGGAUUCCCUCGGGGCGCUCCCAGCCCAGUCCCUCCUCACGGCCCCACCCCGCAGGGACCAGGCCGAGGCGCGGCGCUCCAAGACCAAGGAGGCGCGGAAGCGGCGCGAGGAGCGGCUGCAGGCCAAGAAGGAGGAGAUCAUCAAAACCCUGUCCAAGGAGGAGGAGGCCAAGAAGUGACCGACAUCAAAACCCUCUCCCGAGGAGGAGAAGGAGUGACCACGGGCUGUCCGAGCGGGUCCCAUCCCCGGGAUCCAAUAAAGCAUCCCGGGCAAUUCCCGAGUCCUGUGUCUGUGGGAGGGAAUUUCUGCCGGGAAUUGGGUGUGGGGCCCUUCCCCACAGCCCCUGAGCCCCCCUGAGGGGCUGGGGGAGGUUUUGGGGGGCUGGGGGAGGUUUUGGGGGGCUCAGCACCCCCACAGAGGGGAUGGACCCCGGGCUGGGGCUCACGGCAGGGAACCCCAGGACAGACAGACGGACACG